rnacentral:snRNA from 9 species
AUACUUAUCUGUUGUAGGGUUACCGUGAUUAUGCAGGUGGUUCUCCCAAGGUGAGGCUGCUCCAUUGCACUCCGGAGUGGUUGACCCUUGCGAUUAUUUUUAUUUUUUAUAAGUUUCACUUCUACUGAGUGUGAAUUGUGCACAUACACAUU